CCUACGGGAGGCAGCAGUGGGGAAUAUUGCACAAUGGGGGAAACCCUGAUGCAGCGACGCCGCGUGAGCGAUGAAGGAUCUCCGUAUGGUAAGCUCUAUCAGCAGGGGAGAAAAUGACGGUACCUGACUACGAAGCCCCGGAUAACUACGUGCCAGCACCCGCGGUUAGACGGAGGCGGCAAGCGUUAUCCGGAUUUACUGGGGGUAAAGGGAGCGUAGACGGUCCUGAAAGCCAGAUGUGAAAGCGAGGGGCUCAACCCCGGGACUGCAGUUGAAACUGUAAGGCUAGAGUGUCGGAGAGGCAGGCGGAAUUCGUGGUGUAGCGGUGAAAUGCGUAGAUAUUAGGAGGAACACCAGUGGCGAAGGCGGCCUGCUGGACGAUGACUGACGUUGAGGCUCGAAAGCGUGGGGAGCAAACAGGAUUAGAUACCCCGGUAGUC
rnacentral:rRNA from 1 species